AGCUAACGCAAUAAGCAUUCCGCCUGGGGAGUACGACCGCAAGGUUGAAACUCAAAGGAAUAGAAGGGGGCCCGCACAAGCGGUGGAGCGGGUAAAAAAAAAAAAAGUAACGUGAAGAACCUUACCAGGUCUUGACAUCUUUUGACAAUCCUAGAGAUAGGACUUCCCCUUCGGGGACAAAAUGACAGGUGGUGCAUGGUUGUCGUCAGCUCGUGUCGUGAGAUGUUGGGUUAAGUCCCGCAACGAGCGCAACCCUUAUUGUUAGUUGCCAGCAUUAAGUUGGGCACUCUAGCAAGACUGCCGGUGACAAACCGGAGGAAGGUGGGGAUGACGUCAAAUCAUCAUGCCCCUUAUGACCUGGGCUACACACGUGCUACAAUGGAAGAUACAACGAGUCGCAAGACCGCGAGGUUUAGCAAAUCUCUUAAAGCCGUUCUCAGUUCGGAUUGUAGGCUGAAACUCGCCUACAUGAAGUCGGAAUCGCUAGUAAUCGCGG
rnacentral:rRNA from 1 species